rnacentral:rRNA from 1 species
AACGAACGCUGGCGGCAUGCCUAACACAUGCAAGUCGAACGAGAACCUGGAGCUUGUUUCAGGGGAGAGUGGCGCACGGGUGAGUAACGCGUGGAUAACGUGCCUUAUGGUUGGGGAUAACUCGGGGAAACCUGGGCUAAUACCGAAUGUGGCUGCGGACCUUGCGGGGUCUGUAGAGAAAGGGGUGUAAAUCCCGCCAUUAGAUCGAUCCGCGUCCCAUCAGCUUGUUGGUGAGGUAAUGGCUCACCAAGGCAUCGACGGGUAGCUGGUCUGGGAGGAUGAUCAGCCACACUGGGACUGAGACACGGCCCAG